GAUGAAGAACGUAGCGAAAUGCGAUAAGUAAUGUGAAUUGCAGAAUUCAGUGAAUCAUCGAAUCUUUGAACGCACAUUGCGUCCGCCAGUAUUCUGGCGGGCAUGCCUGUUCGAGCGUCAUUUCAACCAUCAAGCCCCCGGCUUGUGUUGGGGACCUGCGGCUGCCGCAGGCCCUGAAAACCAGUGGCGGGCUCGCUAGUCACUCCGAGCGUAGUAAUACAUCUCGCUCAGGGCGUGCUGCGGGUUCCGGCCGUUAAAAAGCCUUAUUUACCCAAGGUUGACCUCGGAUCAGGUAGGAAGACCCGCUGAACUUAAGCAUAUCAAUAAGCGGAGGA
rnacentral:misc_RNA from 1 species